rnacentral:rRNA from 1 species
CCUACGGGUGGCAGCAGUGGGGAAUAUUGCACAAUGGGGGAAACCUUAUGCAGCAACGCCGCGUGGGCCGUGGAGGGCUUCGGGUCGGAAAGCCCUGUCCUAAGGGAAGAAUACUGACGGUAACUUAGGAGGAAACCCCGGCGUACCACGUGCCAGCAGCCGCGGUAAUACGUAGGGGGCUAAAGUUAUCCGGAAUUACUGGGCGUAAAGGGUGCGUAGGCGGCCCUUCAAGUCAGAGGUGAAAGGCUACGGCUCAACCGUAGUAAGCCUUUGAAACUGUAGGGCUUGAGUGCAGGAGAGGAGAGUGGAAUUCCCAGUGUAGCGGUGAAAUGCGUAGAUAUUGGGAGGAACACCAGUUGCGAAGGCGGCUCUCUGGACUGUAACUGACGCUGAGGCACGAAAGCGUGGGGAGCGAACAGGAUUAGAUACCCCUGUAGUC